UAUUCUGUCCCACGGGGAAGGAUGAGAAGCUUCGACUAAGGUUCGACUCGAGCGAAGCGAGAGAACGUUGCCGCAGGCAACGGCCCGAAGGGCGAGGAGCGAUAGCGACGAGUUAUCCUUCCCCCACCACCA
rnacentral:sRNA from 1 species